rnacentral:rRNA from 1 species
UACGGGGGGGAGCAAGCGUUGUUCGGAUUUACUGGGCGUAAAGGGCGCGUAGGCGGUCGUGACAAGUCACUUGUGAAAUCUCCGGGCUUAACUCGGAACGGUCAAGUGAUACUGUCGGACUAGAGUACAGAAGGGGCAACUGGAAUUCUCGGUGUAGCGGUGAAAUGCGUAGAUAUCAAGAGGAACACCUGAGGUGAAGACGGGUUGCUGGGCUGACACUGACGCUGAGGCGCGAAGGCCAGGGGAGCAAACGGG